CCGGGGCCCGGGAACAAAGCGCGCCCUCCCCCAUCUCGGGAGCGCGCUGUGGGACCUUCAGGCGCCCCGGGCUGGGAGGCUUAAGACCACCGCGAAUCUGCUGGCCCCCAACCUCUGUGGACCGGACCCCUGGGGUCGGGGUGACAGCUGCGCGCUACUGAGCCACCUUCCCGGCCCCCCGAAGAUCACUCCCGCUCUCCCCAUCCCUACCCCCAUCGCGGAGGUGUCACUGGGGCCGGAGCACGGCCAGAUGGCCCCAUUUAACAGGACUGUCCCCUUUUGUUGGGGGCUGAAGCAGCGUCCAGGCCGAUUUACAUAGGAAAAUGGGGUUUGUGUCCCCGAUUCAGUGCAGUGCCCCGACAGCUGGUGGCUCUGUCAUCAUGUCAGGACCCCACAGCAUGAUGUUUAAAGUGGCUUUAUGUGUGCAGAUGUGUGAGUGUGAAUAGCAAUUGAUUGCGAAGCGGUGGCUGUUAGGUCCAGCCUGGAGAAACUCGGUUCACGGAGGAAAUUCGAUCAGCCUGGCCACAGCAUACGAUCAUAGACUGGAAAAGUCUCGCCAAAGACUUCUAAUGCUCUCUUCCGGAACUGACAGCUUAUCAUUUUAUCCAGAAAUCUAAAAAGCCAAAUCGUUUGGAUCUAAGGAGCAUUUUGAAAUCCUUACUCUUUACACUUUUGGUCUUUGUUUGUAAAAGUUGUGAGUCUGAACGUAAAAAGUCAUAAGGAGGACUGUUAGGAGUUAAAAAACAAUUAUUGGUGAGAGAUCUAAGCUAAUUCAUUUUAUUAAACUACCUUAACUCAGAUGGUUUGUGUGGCUGCUCCAGCCUGUAGCAGGCUGAGAGUUGUCAUUAGUUUGGAAAUCGGUAGUUUAAACGUGUGCAGUUAGGUGACAGAUGAUUAGAACAGGGAGGAAGUCCUGUUCUCAUUUUACCAGCGAGGGUUGAAUCUCAGAGAGGUUACGUGAUUUUCCCAAGAUCAUACAACUCUGGAAUAUGAUCUCAACCGUUCGAAUCCAUAAAAGAUGAAGGAAAGAGAAGCCUUAAGACGGUAGAUUUAGGAGCCCUUGAAAAUACCUUAAUCCAGAACCUCUCAAACCUUUCCGCCAGUCUGCUGGAGCCACCAACAGGCAGCAGCUUGAAAUUUCCUGGUGACACCUGCCGUUGAGACCCCGGCUUCGAGAAUCCAUUAAUUCUUCUCCAUCUGCUUGGAUCGAUAGCUUAGGCAACCCUGGGCAUCAUGGUUUUGUGCACCCCAGAGCCACCUUCCUCCUGAAACAUCGUGUAAAAAUCUGGGACAAUGCUAACAGAGCAAACAGCAUUUAUUCUCUUUAUAGUCAAUGGCAAAUGGUUAUAUUUGUUAAUAGUGUUAUAUUUCUUUCAAAUAUUAUACCUUAAAAUUUAUAAAGGUCUUUCCAAUAAAUUAACGCAAUUUCUCACCCCA
rnacentral:lncRNA from 1 species